AGAACACGGCCGGAGCGUCGGCGGAUGGUUUGUCUGGUUGCCUCUCUGUUUUUGAUUUCUGUCUAUUACAUCGUAACAUGCAUUCCUACAAGGGUUCCAUUGGACUGGAGUCUCAUUACUCUGUGCGCUUCUUUGGGAUAUAGUCUGUCACACAUUACCAGCUUUGACAGAAGUGUGAAGGAAAUACGUGAAAUGGCCUGAGGCGUAGCCACGGCCGGCUUAACCACAAACAGGCCGUGCCAGUCUUCUCACAACAGGUAUUUCUGUAGCACGACUGAGAGGUGAAAGUGUAGCUUAAGUUACUCCAAAUGAGAAAAUGCUGUCGCAGGGCUUUCAUGUCCUCGACCCAACAGCUAUGUGUCGCGGUGAUACCCAUGAAAAGCAGUUUUGAUGAUGAUGUC
ensembl:lncRNA